rnacentral:rRNA from 1 species
AGCGAACGCUGGCGGCAGGCUUAACACAUGCAAGUCGAGCGGGCACUUCGGUGUCAGCGGCAGACGGGUGAGUAACACGUGGGAACGUACCCUUUGGUUCGAAUAACGCUGGGAAACUAGCGCUAAUACCGGAUACGCCCUUUUGGGGAAAGGCUUGCUGCCGAAGGAUCGGCCUGCGUCUGAUUAGCUAGUUGGUGGGGUAAUGGCCUACCAAGGCGACGAUCAGUAGCUGGUCUGAGAGGAUGAUCAGCCACACUGGGACUGAGACACGGCCCAGACUCCUACGGGAGGCAGCAGUGGGGAAUAUUGGACAAUGGGCGCAAGCCUGAUCCAGCCAUGCCGCGUGAGUGAUGAAGGCCUUAGGGUUGUAAAGCUCUUUUGUCCGGGACGAUAAUGACGGUACCGGAAGAAUAAGCCCCGGCUAACUUCGUG